rnacentral:rRNA from 1 species
AGAGUUUGAUCCUGGCUCAGGACGAACGCUGGCGGCGCGCUUAACACAUGCAAGUCGAGCGAGAACCUGGCCUUCGGGCCUGGGGAAAGCGGCGAACGGGUGAGUAACACGUGGGUAACCCACCCUUGGUACUGGGAUAGCCCGGGGAAACCCGGAUUAAUACCGGAUGGCCCAACAGCUCUUCGGGGCGGUUGGAAAAGGUAGCUUCGGCCUCCGACCAAGGACGGGCCCGCGGCGGAUUAGCUUGUUGGUGAGGUAACGGCUCACCAAGGCGACGAUCCGUAGCUGGUCUGAGAGGACGAUCAGCCACACUGGGACUGAGACACGGCCCAGACUCCUACGGGAGGCAGCAGUGGGGAAUCUUGCGCAAUGGGCGAAAGCCUGACGCAGCGACGCCGCGUGGGGGAAGAAGGCUUUCGGGUUGUAAACCCCUUUCAGGAAGGACGAAGCCACUCGGGUGAAUAGCCCAGAGGGUGACGGUACUUCCAGAAGAAGCCCCGGCUAACUACGUGCCAGCCGCCGCGGUAAUUC